GACGAACGCUGGCGGCGUGCUUAACACAUGCAAGUCGAGCGGUAAGGCCCUUUCGGGGGUACACGAGCGGCGAACGGGUGAGUAACACGUGGGUGACCUGCCCUCAGCUCUGGGAUAAGCCUGGGAAACCGGGUCUAAUACUGGAUAUGACUCCAUGACGCAUGUUGUGGGGUGGAAAGCCUUGUGCGGCUGAGGAUGGGCCCGCGGCCUAUCAGCUUGUUGGUGGGGUGANGGCCUACCAAGGCGACGACGGGUAGCCGGCCUGAGAGGGCGACCGGCCACACUGGGACUGAGACACGGCCCAGACUCCUACGGGAGGCAGCAGGUGGGGAAUCUUGCGCAAUGGGCGAAAGCCUGACGCAGCGACGCCGCGUGAGGGAUGACGGCU
rnacentral:rRNA from 1 species